CCUUCCGCAUCAGUCGUCGAGCGUUCAGUUGAAGGCGGAUCGGACGACAUGCUGCCACUGCUGUCAGGUUUCACAGGCGCAACGCAAGCAAGAGGCAAACCGCUCCUUCCGCAUCAGUCGGCGAGCGUUCAGUUGAAGGCGGAUCGGACGACAUGCUGCCACUGCUGUCAGGUUUCACAGGCGCAACGCAAGCAAGAGGCAAACCGCUCCUUCCGCAUCAGUCGGCGAGCGUUCAGUUGAAGGCGGAUCGGACGACAUGCUGCCACCGCUGUCAGGUUUCACAGGCGCAACGCAAGCAAGAGGCAAACCGCUCCUUCCGCAUCAGUCGGCGAGCGUUCAGUUGAAGGCGGAUCGGACGACAUGCUGCCACCGCUGUCAGGUUUCACAGGCGCAACGCAAGCAAGAGGCAAACCGCUCCUUCCGCAUCAGUCGGCGAGCGUUCAGUUGAAGGCGGAUCGGACGACAUGCUGCCACUGCUGUCAGGUUUCACAGGCGCAACGCAAGCAAGAGGCAAACCGCUCCUUCCGCAUCAGUCGGCGAGCGUUCAGUUGAAGGCGGAUCGGACGACAUGCUGCCACCGCUGUCAGGUUUCACAGGCGCAACGCAAGCAAGAGAGGAAUGCCACUCGCGUUUAGAUACUCAUUCACCGCCGUAGAUUACAAG
rnacentral:lncRNA from 1 species